GAUACUGGGCGUAAGCGUGCGUAGGCGGUUAGUUAAGUCAGAUGUGAAAUCCCGGGGCUCAMCCUYGGAACUGCAUUUGAAACUGGUVACUAGAGUAUUGUAGAGGGUGGUGGAAUUUCCAGUGUAGCGGUGAAAUGCGUAGAGAUUGGAAGGAACAUCAGUGGCGAAGGCGGCCACCUGGACAAAUACUGACGCUGAGGYACGAAAGCGUGGGGAGCAAACAGGAUUAGAUACCCUGGUAGUCCACGCCGUAAACGAUGUCAACUAGCUGUCUGU
rnacentral:rRNA from 1 species